UGGGGAAUAUUGCACAAUGGGCGCAAGCCUGAUGCAGCCAUGCCGCGUGUAUGAAGAAGGCCUUCGGGUUGUAAAGUACUUUCAGUCGGGAGGAAGGUGGUAAGGUUAAUAACCUUAUCAAUUGACGUUACCGACAGAAGAAGCACCGGCUAACUCCGUGCCAGCAGCCGCGGUAAUACGGAGGGUGCAAGCGUUAAUCGGAAUUACUGGGCGUAAAGCGCACGCAGGCGGUUGAUUGAGUCAGAUGUGAAAUCCCCGGGCUUAACCCGGGAAUUGCAUCUGAUACUGGUCAGCUAGAGUCUCGUAGAGGGGGGUAGAAUUCCAGGUGUAGCGGUGAAAUGCGUAGAGAUCUGGAGGAAUACCGGUGGCGAAGGCGGCCCCCUGGACGAAGACUGACGCUCAGGUGCGAAAGCGUGGGGAGCAAACAGG
rnacentral:rRNA from 1 species